GCGGCGGUCGCAGCGAUCCGGUCACACUGCCGGCCUCUUCUUCCGCGCUCUCCACCUCGCGUUCAGCCGCCCCCGUCUACACGCGCAAGCUUCUCGCGGCAGAGCGGCCGGCGGCACCGCUUUCCCGACUGCGCAUGUCCCCCACUAGCUUCCCUCGAUCUCUAGGGGCCUUCCCGGGAUUAGCAGCACUCUGCACCAAUCACAGCUCUCCUUGGCAGGCCGUCAGUCUCCUGCCCCCUCGUCGCCAUGGCAACCACGCCGAAAAAAGCGUUCGCUUUGCUGCCUCAGGACCGCACAAUGGAGCGAGGCGCGGUACUUUCUGGGAGGGGUAGUCCAGCGGCCCUCAGCGUUGCGUGCUUGUGCGCCGGGCCGUUCCUUUGUGUUGAGGGUGGAGGGGGGGCCCUGGCGUCUCCGUGGUAACCGGGAUUAGUUCCUGCAGUUUUCAGGGCAACCCAGGGGACGGGGACUGGCCUCUCAAAGGCAAAGAGCGUCGGGAUCGGACUUGGGGUCGGAGAGAUACUCAGUGCCCGAGACAGUGAUGAGACAGGGGCAGAAAGAUACAGGGACUCCGGGGCAGGGAAAGAAAGACACUCAGAGCCAACAAGGGCACAGGCUCGUGGGCAGGGAGAAACACGAAAGAGAGAGAGAGAGAGAGACUUACUGUCAGACAGUAAAAAACAGAGGUCAGGAAGGAUGGAGAAGAGAUGAAAGACAAAGAGGAAGAGGAUGGAUCCAGAGACAAGAAGUACAGUUACUGAAAUUCAAGGAACAGACAAGGAUUCAGGACAGAGACAAGGAGAAAGGGCAGAAAUGAAAGCUACAGUAAAAUGGGUUGAGACUUCAAAGACUUGGAGAAAAACGACAAACAGCAAGAACAUACAUGGGGAGAGUUGGAGGGAGACGUGUUGGGAAAACUUGUCCAAAACGUGGGAAUAGACCAAAAGAUGACUGGGAGCCCUUCCCGAGACCCACAGUCCUGUCUAUCAAGCCCGCCUCACGUCGUCUAACUCCCUAAAGGAAGCAAGCCCUCCAUCCGAAGCAAUUCUUUUUGACAACUACUUUUGAUCGGAGUCCAGAUUCUGUGAAGUUAGAUGCCGACUUGUAAAAGUUGCUUCUCUCCCCUCUUCUGGAACCAUCUGUGCCAUCUAACUGGUUCCCUCGGUGAGGUAAAUAAAUCUUUGAUACGUGCUCA